UGGGGAAUAUUGGACAAUGGGGGGAACCCUGAUCCAGCCAUGCCGCGUGUGUGAAGAAGGCCUUAUGGUUGUAAAGCACUUUAAGCGAGGAGGAGGGUACUGGUAUUAAUACUACCAGCUACUGGACGUUACUCGCAGAAUAAGCACCGGCUAACUCUGUGCCAGCAGCCGCGGUAAUACAGAGGGUGCGAGCGUUAAUCGGAUUUACUGGGCGUAAAGCGUGCGUAGGCGGCUAAUUGAGUCGGAUGUGAAAUCCCCGAGCUUAACUUGGGAAUUGCAUUCGAUACUGGUUAGCUAGAGUGUGGGAGAGGAUGGUAGAAUUCCAGGUGUAGCGGUGAAAUGCGUAGAGAUCUGGAGGAAUACCGAUGGCGAAGGCAGCCAUCUGGCCUAAGACUGACGCUGAGGUACGAAAGAAUGGGGAGCAAACAGG
rnacentral:rRNA from 1 species